rnacentral:rRNA from 1 species
GACGAACGCUGGCGGCGUGCUUAACACAUGCAAGUCGAACGGUAAGGCUCCAGCUUGCUGGGGUACACGAGUGGCGAACGGGUGAGUAACACGUGGGUGACCUGCCCUGCACUUCGGGAUAAGCCUGGGAAACUGGGUCUAAUACCGGAUAGGACCGCACCGUGAGGGUGUGGUGGAAAGUUUUUUCGGUGUGGGAUGGGCCCGCGGCCUAUCAGCUUGUUGGUGGGGUAAUGGCCUACCAAGGCGGCGACGGGUAGCCGGCCUGAGAGGGUGGACGGCCACAUUGGGACUGAGACACGGCCCAGACUCCUACGGGAGGCAGCAGUGGGGAAUAUUGCACAAUGGGCGGAAGCCUGAUGCAGCGACGCCGCGUGGGGGAUGACGGCCUUCGGGUUGUAAACUCCUUUCACCAUCGACGAAGGGUUUCUGACGGUAGAUGGAGAAGAAGCACCGGCUAACUACGUGCCAGCAGCCGCGGUAAUACGUAGGGUGCGAGCGUUGUCCGGAAUUACUGGGCGUAAAGAGCUCGUAGGUGGUUUGUCGCGUCGUCUGUGAAAUUCCGGGGCUUAACUCCGGGCGUGCAGGCGAUACGGGCAUAACUUGAGUACUGUAGGGGAGACUGGAAUUCCUGGUGUAGCGGUGAAAUGCGCAGAUAUCAGGAGGAACACCGGUGGCGGAGGCGGGUCUCUGGGCAGUAACUGACGCUGAGGAGCGAAAGCAUGGGGAGCGAACAGGAUUAGAUACCCUGGUAGUCCAUGCCGUAAACGGUGGGCGCUAGGUGUGGGUUUCCUUCCACGGGAUCCGUGCCGUAGCUAACGCAUUAAGCGCCCCGCCUGGGGAGUACGGCCGCAAGGCUAAAACUCAAAGGAAUUGACGGGGGCCCGCACAAGCGGCGGAGCAUGUGGAUUAAUUCGAUGCAACGCGAAGAACCUUACCUGGGCUUGACAUAUACAGGAUCGCGCCAGAGAUGGUGUUUCCCUUGUGGCUUGUAUACAGGUGGUGCAUGGUUGUCGUCAGCUCGUGUCGUGAGAUGUUGGGUUAAGUCCCGCAACGAGCGCAACCCUUGUCUUAUGUUGCCAGCACGUUGUGGUGGGAACUCGUAAGAAACUGCCGGGGUUAACUCGGAGGAAGGUGGGGAUGACGUCAAAUCAUCAUGCCCCUUAUGUCCAGGGCUUCACACAUGCUACAAUGGUCGGUACAGUGGGUUGCCAGUCCGUGAGGGCGAGCUAAUCCCGCAAAGCCGGUCUCAGUUCGGAUCGGGGUCUGCAACUCGACCCCGUGAAGUCGGAGUCGCUAGUAAUCGCAGAUCAGCAACGCUGCGGUGAAUACGUUCCCGGGCCU